rnacentral:rRNA from 1 species
UACAGAGGUCUCAAGCGUUGUUCGGAUUCAUUGGGCGUAAAGGGCGCGUAGGCGGCUUUGCAAGUGACGGGUGAAAUCCCUCGGCUUAACCGAGGAACUGCCUGUCAGACUGCAUGGCUCGAGACCAGGAGAGGUGAGUGGAAUUCCGAGUGUAGAGGUGAAAUUCGUAGAUAUUCGGAAGAACACCAGUGGCGAAGGCGGCUCACUGGACUGGUAUUGACGCUGAGGUGGCGAAAGCGUGGGGAGCAAACAGG